AACGCUGGCGGCAUGCUUAACACAUGCAAGUCGAACGGCAGCACGAGGGGCUUGCUCCGUUGGUGGCGAGUGGCGGACGGGUGAGUAAUGCAUAGGAAUUUGCCUAGUAGUGGGGACAACUCGAGGAAACUCGAGCUAAUACCGCAUAAGCCCUACGGGGGAAAGCGUGGGAUCUUCGGACCUCGCGCUAUUAGAUAAGCCUAUGUCCGAUUAGCUAGUUGGUAGGGUAAAGGCCUACCAAGGCGACGAUCGGUAGCUGGUCUGAGAGGAUGAUCAGCCACACUGGGACUGAGACACGGCCCAGACUCCUGCGGGAGGCAGCAGUGGGGAAUAUUGGACAAUGGGCGAAAGCCUGAUCCAGCAAUGCCGCGUGUGUGAAGAAGGCCUGCGGGUUGUAAAGCACUUUCAAUAGUGAAGAAGGAUUUGUGUCGAAUAGACAUGGAGACAGACAUUAACUGUAGAAGAAGCACCGGCUAACUCCGUG
rnacentral:rRNA from 1 species